rnacentral:rRNA from 1 species
GAUGAACGCUAGCGGCAGGCCUAAUACAUGCAAGUCGAGGGGUAGAGGAAGCUUGCUUUCUUGAGACCGGCGCACGGGUGCGUAACGCGUAUGCAACCUACCUUUAUCAGGGGGAUAGCCCGGAGAAAUCCGGAUUAACACCGCAUACAAUCACAGAACAGCAUUGUUUCAUGAUCAAAUAUUUAUAGGAUAAAGAUGGGCAUGCGUGCCAUUAGCUAGUUGGAGGGGUAACGGCCCACCAAGGCGACGAUGGCUAGGGGCUCUGAGAGGAGAAUCCCCCACACUGGUACUGAGACACGGACCAGACUCCUACGGGAGGCAGCAGUAAGGAAUAUUGGUCAAUGGGGGCAACCCUGAACCAGCCAUGCCGCGUGCAGGAAGACUGCCCUAUGGGUUGUAAACUGCUUUUGUACGGGAAUAACCACUGGUAUGUAUACCAGCCUGAAUGUACCGUAAGAAUAAGGAUCGGCUAACUCCGUGCCAGCCGCCGCCGUAAUAC